GCUCGCCACUGACGUGAGCCGUGGCCGGGAUCGAACUCGAGCUGGCGAGUUCGUAGCGCAGUGCAGGGGCCACCGCGCCACUGCUCCUCACUUCCAUGCUCGGUGAACCCUCGUCGCCGGAUGACAACGCGGGAAACACGUGGACUCCCACCUGUCCCGUCUGUGUGGGAUAGAGUGUGACCCCCUCGCACGAGUGUGUGUUCUCUGGGUGCUCUGGUUCCCUCUCACGUGCGAGCUCUCAUUCAGCGGCUGACAGCGUCUUACUACAGAGGGAACUGCAGAGCGGCAGUUAAAACGACUGUGCGAGUUUAUUAAAUGACACCACAGUUCGUCGGUCGUGUGAUAUGCGGUAAACUGCGGCUACCUCCAUCCCUUACAAGCAUUGAAGCGUAGCUCGAAUAUACCCCUCUCUAGAGCUCCCUCUAGUGCAGACCCUUCCACCAGCAGUUGAGUGAGCAAGCACUUGCAGAGCUGCGCCUUUACCUCUUAGCUCCUGGACAAGAAUGGCAGUGAAAUUGUCUACCUUCAUGAACACUGCCAUUUUAUUUCCUAGUUGGUUUGGCCAAAGAUGCUGACAACUGCAUGACCCCCGCACCGAGACGAGUGCCCCCUGCACGUUCGUCUCGCUGGCUCGCAGCCCUCGCGAGGCGCCAGGCGCCUGCACCACGUGCGGGCGGGUGGACGAGUGGAGGCCGUCUGCAGGCAGAGGGCGAAGCCGCCUGGUCUGGUGGGGGGCGACGUGGACGGAGAUCGUGCACGGGGAGAUGUGAGCACAGGGGUUCAGUGCAAUUGCAAGGGGAAUGACGUAACGAAAGUGACGGCGACAGUCGCCUCGCUGGAGCAGCGGUGACCUCGACCGCGACAUCCGAGCGCUGUGAGGAUCUCGCAGGAGCGGCAGAGACCGCGACACCACGAGACCUCGCGGGUCACGAGAACCACUCGUGGUGGUGGUGGCGACAGCGGAUGCUGAUGAUGAUGGGAUCCGCCAACAGUGCCACCUCCCCGCCUCGUUGUGAAUAGGGGUGGGGGGAGGGGGCUCCCUGGCCGACCUGGGCCCGGUAGCACUGCAGCCAUCGUCCCCCGGGACCCGGCGUCGCCCCUGGGUGCAUGGAGCGGGCGGCGUCUCAGACGAGAACAGAGGAGGAGGCUGCCGCCCGCAGCGUCGUCAUCUGAGUCGACAGUCACCGCAUUCACGGGGUUAUGAGACGCUCCGGAACAGUAAGACGCAGCCUAAAGCUGUGCUCGUCGUCAAUACACGCAUACAAAUGUGGUCACACACACACGCGCGCACGUACCGGAUUAUAAGACGCACCACUAACCGCUAAGCAAGAUACAGGAGGGAAGAGUUUGUCUUCUAAUCCGGAGUAUGCGGCACAGUGAUAGUCAUUCAUCUCAAGUGUAAACAAUCGCCAACGUAAUUGCAUCCUGCUGUGUACUCGCUGCGCUGUGUUCCUUUUGGAAAGACUGCGAGGGUUUUUCUUGUUAGGGGCCAGCCCCUGUCUGAGAGUGGCACUGGGGGGCCCUGCAGUCAACUUGGCCUCGGGGCCACCACCGCGUGAGCUGCGUGGCGGCUGUGCUCGCUGAAGCGAAGCCGUCCAACCGCGCCCCUUGGGUGUGAGGAGGAGUGACCUGGGCCUCCUCGCUCUGUCACUAAUAUCGCGAUAGGGAAAACUCGUACAGCGAUACAAUCAAAUAUCGCGAUAAGAAGAACUCGUGCAGCGAUAAAAUCAAAUAUCGCGAUAAGAAGAACUCGUGCAGCGAGCGCUAGAAUCGCGUCUCGUAGCCAAGUAACCAUUCACUCCGUGCCGAUUAAUAAUAGCCAUUUACUGUACUUUUGAGGCAUGAGCAAUUAACACUUACUACCCAGGAAUAGUUUAUUCUUUGUUACACAAUGUUCUCAUUCCUGCAGCAGUGCACUCAGAGGCGGCGUUGCUCGAGUUCCGCGCGUCGACUCUGGGGCCCCGUGUGGCCGCGCCGCGCUCUGCUGCUGGGGAGCGCUCUCGCCUGAAACAACGAAAGCUCCCCGUUUCGCAUUCCGUUACUUUCGGCUUUCGGGUGAGGCUGGGAUUUCCUCUGAGCGCAUCGCGCAGCUCCGCUGCUGGCAGUAGCGCGCGGGCCGUCAUCGUGCCACCAGCUGGUGUCACCUGUAGGUGUUGCUGGCACCCGUCCAGCACCACCGGACUUGCCACCCGCCCCAUGCGCCACCCACACGCGCAUCCAGCAGCCGCCUGCACCACGCGCACUGUCCGUCUCGUACCCAUCCAUCUCUCACUCUCAACGUCUUGACGCCCCCUCUCUCUCGACCCAUGAGCUAACGAGCAGGAUGAUAUCAUUAUGAUAAUGUAGGACAUGGAUCAGAAAUUAUACACCGUGACGACGUAAGGUUACAGAGGGACACACAGACAAAACUCCCAAAGUUAUCGAGAACACCAGAGUGUGCUGUUAACAGCACCACACACGGUCGCAUUUGUCCUCCUACUUGUAGUGUUUACACAUCUGCGACCAUGUCAUCCAUGGUAGGGAAUCGAACCCAGCCCCACCAGCACCCCGUGUACGCUGUCCCGCUGAGUCAUAUCAAGUGACGUCAAGAGACCACGCCCCUGCUAGACGUCGUAUAAAUACUCCUGGCUGUGGCCCCGCUCACUGAGAGACAGCAGCGUGGUCUUGCUGUGUGUCGUACAGACGCGCACUUGCGAGGUGCUGGUCAGCAGAGGCAGUAGGGACACGAAUCGUGUUUUACUUUUUAGAGCGAACCUCCAGCGCUGCCUGAUAUGGUGGCACAGCGUGUGAUGGAGGUGGUGGUGGCGUCGGUGGUGUUGGCGGUGGUGGCCGUCAAAGCUGCAUCUGGUAAGUUGUUCCAACGCGUCACCAUCCAACUACAAAGUCAUUCUCGCUGCCGGCUCUCUCUAUCCCUGCUCUGAUGA